rnacentral:lncRNA from 1 species
GUUUGGGGGUGGGCAGUGUUGUUAGGCUGUGGGUGUUGUGGCACAGUGGGUUAAGCUACUGCUUUGGGAUACCUGCUUCCUAUGGCAGAGUGCUGGUUCAGUCCUGGUCACUGCACUUGCAAUUCUUUACUUUUAAUCCCAGCUUCCCUGGUGCAUAAUCUGGGAGGCAACAGUUGAGUCAAGAACUUGGGUCCCUGCCAGGCAUGUGGCAGAAGCAGAUUGUUCCCAGCUCCUGGCCUCAUCCUAGCACUGCCCCACCUGCUGCACGAGUUAGAGGAGUGAACCAGUGGAUGGACACUCUUAGUCUCUCUGCCUUAAAAACAAGUGCAUAUGUGAGCAAAGCCAGAUAGGAUAAAGAACUUUACAUCAGAUCUUUUUGAUGGGUCUUGUCCCCACCUGGCAACUGAAUGCCAAUCUGAUUAUCAAGGUUUUUUUCUUUCAAAAUUAUACUCAGAAACCCCAGUGCCAUGGGAUCCUUUGGGUUUUUUCCUCUCUUGGAAGCUCCCCUCCAAUGCUAUUCUGGGGAGGUUUUUGACUCUAAUAAUUUUUUUUAAAUCUCAAAAAAAUGAAAAAUGAAAAAAUUUAAAGUUCAUAAAAACGUAUAUUAUGAAAAAUCUAGGCAUGAUUUCAAACACCAAAAUAAACAUCUUUUCAUUUAAUUUUACACAAACUUUAUGAAAUUUCAUCAUAUAAAACACCUGAUCCUUUCUAAUUCAAUACUUACUUGGGGAAUAAAUAGUUACUGAAUUUAAAGAUUCCUCCUUCAAACUUCUCCAUCCCUGGAAGGCAUCUGGGGACAAAGGAAUUCCUUCCUUACAUGUGGUACUGGGAUGGGAGAAGCAUCUCCCUGCUCAGUUCCCACUUCAGGAGACAUAUCCAUUCUAGGCCACAUGUUGGACAUGCCCACACAAGCCCAUAGCCACAGCCCAGGGCCAGCAGGGUGGUCUCUGCUGUUCUGCCUCACCCUGGGUGGUGUGCUUCUCUGGCCGCCUGCCAGCUUCCUGGUGUACAGCCCCUUAAAGGACCAGUGGAGGCUGCCUGUGGCUACUGCCAGUAGCACACCUGCACUAAGAUGCCCUCCACUACUCUGCCUUACUGCCAAGCAUCUCCCAG